CGUCAUUUCAACCCCUAAGCAUAGCUUAUUGUUGAGAGGCUGCGGUGAAACGCACCUCUUCAAAGUCAGUGGCGGAGAGACAGUGUCCUCUGAGCGUAGUAUUAUUUUCUCGCUUCUGUUAGGUGCUGUCCCCCUUGCCAUAAAACACCCAAUUUUUAAUGGUUGACCUCGGAUCAGGUAGGAAUACCCGCUGAACUUAA
rnacentral:misc_RNA from 1 species